UAAUACGGAGGGGGCUAGCGUUGUUCGGAAUUACUGGGCGUAAAGCGCACGUAGGCGGCUUUACAAGUCAGGGGUGAAAGCCCGCGGCUCAACCGCGGAAUUGCCCUUGAGACUGUAUCGCUCGAACACGGGAGAGGUGAGUGGAAUUCCGAGUGUAGAGGUGAAAUUCGUAGAUAUUCGGAAGAACACCAGUGGCGAAGGCGGCUCACUGGACCGUAGUUGACGCUGAGGUGCGAAAGCGUGGGGAGCAAACAG
rnacentral:rRNA from 1 species